rnacentral:rRNA from 1 species
GGUUGAUAUUCCUGUACCACCUAUAAUCGUUUUAAUCGAUGGGGGGACGCAGUAGGAUAGGCGAAGCGUACGAUUGGAUUGUACGUCUAAGCAGUGAGAUUGAGUGUUAGGCAAAUCCGGCACUCUUAAGAUUGAGCUGUGAUGGGGAGAGGAAAUUGUUUCCUCGAGUCGUUGAUUUCACACUGCCGAGAAAAGCCUCUAGAUAGAGAUUAGGUGCCCGUACCGCAAACCGACACAGGUAGUCAAGAUGAGAAUUCUAAGGUGAGCGAGCGAACUCUCGUUAAGGAACUCGGCAAAAUGACCCCGUAACUUCGGGAGAAGGGGUGCUCUUUAGGGUGCAAGCCCAGAAGAGCCGCAGUGAAUAGGCCCAAGCGACUGUUUAUCAAAAACACAGGUCUCUGCUAAACCGUAAGGUGAUGUAUAGGGGCUGACGCCUGCCCGGUGCUGGAAGGUUAAGAGGAGUGGUUAGCUUCUGCGAAGCUACGAAUCGAAGCCCCAGUAAACGGCGGCCGUAACUAUAACGGUCCUAAGGUAGCGAAAUUCCUUGUCGGGUAAGUUCCGACCCGCACGAAAGGCGUAACGAUUUGGGCACUGUCUCAACGAGAGACUCGGUGAAAUCAUAGUACCUGUGAAGAUGCAGGUUACCCGCGACAGGACGGAAAGACCCCGUGGAGCUUUACUGUAGCCUGAUAUUGAAAUUCGGCACAGCUUGUACAGGAUAGGUAGGAGCCUUUGAAACGUGAGCGCUAGCUUACGUGGAGGCGUUGGUGGGAUACUACCCUAGCUGUGUUGGCUUUCUAACCCGCACCACUUAUCGUGGUGGGAGACAGUGUCAGGCGGGCAGUUUGACUGGGGCGGUCGCCUCCUAAAAGGUAACGGAGGCGCUCAAAGGUUCCCUCAGAAUGGUUGGAAAUCAUUCAUAGAGUGUAAAGGCAUAAGGGAGCUUGACUGCGAGACCUACAAGUCGAGCAGGGUCGAAAGACGGACUUAGUGAUCCGGUGGUUCCGCAUGGAAGGGCCAUCGCUCAACGGAUAAAAGCUACCCCGGGGAUAACAGGCUUAUCUCCCCCAAGAGUUCACAUCGACGGGGAGGUUUGGCACCUCGAUGUCGGCUCAUCGCAUCCUGGGGCUGUAGUCGGUCCCAAGGGUUGGGCUGUUCGCCCAUUAAAGCGGUACGCGAGCUGGGUUCAGAACGUCGUGAGACAGUUCGGUCCCUAUCCGUCGUGGGCGUAGGAAAUUUGAGAGGAGCUGUCCUUAGUACGAGAGGACCGGGAUGGACAUACCUCUGGUGUACCAGUUGUCGUGCCAACGGCAUAGCUGGGUAGCUAUGUAUGGACGGGAUAAGUGCUGAAAGCAUCUAAGCAUGAAGCCCCCCUCAAGAUGAGAUUUCCCAACUUCGGUUAUAAGAUCCCUCAGAGAUGAUGAGGUUAAUAGGUUCGAGGUGGAAGCGUGGUGACACGUGGAGCUGACGAAUACUAAUCGA